rnacentral:rRNA from 1 species
GAUGAACGCUGGCGGCAUGCCUAAGACAUGCAAGUCGAACGAAGUGGCCCAUUGAAGAUGGAGUGCUUGCACAAAGUCAGAUUUGGUUACCACUUAGUGGCAGACGGGUGAGUAACACGUGGGUAACCUACCUCAAAGACUGGGACAACAGUUGGAAACGACUGCUAAUACCGGAUGAUUCUUCUUACACAAGUAAGAAUGCUAAAAGGAGCUUCGGGCUUCACUUUAAGAUGAGCUUAUGGCGUAUUAACUAGUUGGUAGGGGUAAUGGCCUACCAAGGUGACGGAUGCGUAGCCGAACUGAGAGGUUGAUCGGCCACAUUGGGGACUGAGACACGGCCCAGACUCCUACGGGAGGCAGCAGUGGGGAA